rnacentral:SRP_RNA from 1 species
GCUGGGCGCAGUGGCGUGUGCCUGUAGUCCCAGCUACUCGGGAGGCUGAGGCUGGAGGAUCGCUUGAGCCCAGGAGUUGCGGGCUGCCGUGCGCUAUGCCGAUCCGGUGUCCACACUAAGUUCGGCAUCAAUAUGGUGACCUCCCGGGAGCGGGGGACCACCAGGUUGCCUAAGGAGGGGUGAACCGGCCCAGGUCAGAAACGGAGCCAGUCAAAACUCCCGUGUUGAGCAGUAGUGGGAUCACACCUGUGAAUAGCCACUGUACUACAGCCUGGGCAACACAGCAAGACGCCAUCUCUU